AAACGGAACGGUACCCCUUUAACCCUUGAAGCUACUGUCCGUUUGAGAGUUUCUCUCAUACUCGAAAUAACUAAAGCCAACGUGAACUUUUGCGGACCUUGAGUCCG
rnacentral:other from 1 species